rnacentral:rRNA from 1 species
GACGAACGCUGGCGGCGUGCUUAACACAUGCAAGUCGAACGGUAAGGCCCUUCGGGGUACACGAGUGGCGAACGGGUGAGUAACACGUGGGUGAUCUGCCCUGCACUUCGGGAUAAGCCUGGGAAACUGGGUCUAAUACCGGAUAGGACCACUGCCUGCAUGGGUGGUGGUGGAAAGCUUUUGCGGUGUGGGAUGGGCCCGCGGCCUAUCAGCUUGUUGGUGGGGUGAUGGCCUACCAAGGCGACGACGGGUAGGCGGCCUGGGAGGGUGACAGGCCACACUGGGACUGAGAUACGGCCCAGACUCCUACGGGAGGCAGCAGUGGGGAAUAUUGCACCAUGGGCGCAAGCCUGAUGCAGCGACGCCGCGUGAGGGAUGACGGCCUUCGGGUUGUAAACCUCUUUCAGCACCGACGAAGCGCAAGUGACGGUAGGUGCAGAAGAAGGACCGGCCAACUACGUGCCAGCCGCCGCCGUAA